rnacentral:tRNA from 1 species
GCCCUUGUAGCUCAGAGGAUAGAGCAGCGGUCUUCUAAACCGUGGGUCGGGGGUUCGAGUCCCUCCAGGGGCG